rnacentral:rRNA from 1 species
UACGUAGGGGGGCUAGCGUUGUCCGGAUUUAUUGGGCGUAAAGAGCGUGUAGGCGGCCAGGUAGGUCUGCUGUGAAAACUCGAGGCUCAACCUCGAGACGUCGGCGGAAACCAUCUGGCUAGAGUCCGGAAGAGGAGAGUGGAAUUCCCCAGUGUAGUGGUGAAAUACGUAGAGAUUGGGAAGAACACCAGUGGCGAAGGCGGCUAUCUGGACGGUUUCUGACGCUAAGACGCGAAAGCGUGGGGGAGCAAACAGG